UUCGCAAUGCCCGAAAGGGUGACGAAGCGACGCCGCGUGCGGGAAGAAGGCCUUCGGGUUGUAAACCGCUGUCGGGAGUUAAGAAAUGCAAGGGUGUUAAUAGUAUCCUUGCUUGACUAAGGCUCCGGAGGAAGCCACGGCUAACUCUGUGCCAGCAGCCGCGGUAAUACAGAGGCGGCAAGCGUUGUUCGGAAUUAUUGGGCGUAAAGGGCACGUAGGCGGCUGUGUAAGUCGGUUGUGAAAGCCUUCCGCUCAACGGGAGAACGGCAUCCGAUACUGCAUGGCUUGAGUGCGGGAGGGGAGAGUGGAACUUCUGGUGGAGCGGUGAAAUGCGUAGAUAUCAGAAGGAACACCGGCGGCGAAGGCGACUCUCUGGCCCGUAACUGACGCUGAGUGUGCGAAAGCUAGGGGAGCAAACGGGAUUAGAUACCCCGGUAGUCCUAGCCGUAAACGAUGGGCACUAAGUAGAGGGGUUUU
rnacentral:rRNA from 1 species